CGGUGAGUGGCUCAGUAGGUACAGCGCAGGACUCGUGACCGAGAGGUCCGGGUUCGAAUCUCGAUGCAAUUU
rnacentral:tRNA from 1 species